UGAGGUUAGAGUUAGCAUGCUGAUUAUUUUCCCAUCACAGCAUAAUGUGUAGGGUGUAAUUAAUUUCAACUUGAUAUUUAUGGAUACUAAAACAAAAAUCACAGCUUAUUGUGUUACCACAAGGACAGCAAGGUGGAAUUCCAAACAGCAUAUAUCGUGUCUCUUUGGAGGAAGGGAGGAAACUGAAAAACCCAGAGGAAACCCCUACAGUAUGGUCACAACAUGCAAAAUCUACACACACACACACACACACACGGUGAAGGCAGGAAUCAAUCCCCCAACCCUGGAGGAAACACGGUAACCCAACAUCAAGUCUUUUAAGAGCGAUAACGUCCUUCAGAGUCCAGUCAGGUUCAGGACUAUCUCUCCACGCUUACUGCACUUCCUGCUGCGGCGAUGAAAACAUCCUGCGGUGCGAAUUUCAAUGCGGAGACAAGAUCCGGCAAUGAAGAGCCACUAAUGGAUGCUAAAUGUAACCUGAACAAUAAAUGUCUGUUUAUGAUUGGA